UACGGAGGGGGCUAGCGUUGUUCGGAAUUACUGGGCGUAAAGCGCGCGUAGGCGGACCUGCAAGUCGGGGGUGAAAGCCCGAGGCUCAACCUCGGAACUGCCUUCGAUACUGCGGGUCUCGAGUCCGGGAGAGGUGAGUGGAAUUCCUAGUGUAGAGGUGAAAUUCGUAGAUAUUAGGAAGAACAACCAGUGGCGAAGGCGGCUCACUGGCCCGGUACUGACGCUGAGGCGCGAAAGCGUGGGGAGCAAACAGGG
rnacentral:rRNA from 1 species